rnacentral:rRNA from 1 species
GACGAACGCUGGCGGCGUGCUUAACACAUGCCAGUCGAACGGAAAGGCCCUGCUUUUGUGGGGUGCUCGAGUGGCGAACGGGUGAGUAACACGUGAGUAACCUGCCCUUGACUUUGGGAUAACUUCAGGAAACUGGGGCUAAUACCGGAUAGGAGCUCCUGCUGCAUGGUGGGGGUUGGAAAGUUUCGGCGGUUGGGAAUGGACUCGCGGCUUAUCAGCUUGUUGGUGGGGUAGUGGCUUACCAAGGCUUUGACGGGUAGCCGGCCUGAGAGGGUGACCGGCCACAUUGGGACUGAGAUACGGCCCAGACUCCUACGGGAGGCAGCAGUGGGGAAUAUUGCACAAUGGGCGGAAGCCUGAUGCAGCAACGCCGCGUGCGGGAUGACGGCCUUCGGGUUGUAAACCGCUUUCGCCUGUGACGAAGCGUGAGUGACGGUAAUGGGUAAAGAAGCACCGGCUAACUACGUG